CUCAGUGUUAUGGAGCUUUGGGAGGAACUGUGGUCCUCCAGCUGAUGGACAAUACCUCAGGAAUAUCUAGAUACCAAUGGUCAAUCAAAACAACAAUCAAUGCAAAUACAACAACAAUAACAACAAUACUCAGCGGGAGCAAUAAUCCUUUUGUGUUUAAUGCGAUAGAAAACAGAUCCUUCUUUACUCCCAGUAAUGGAACAUUUAGGAUCAACAACCUGAGCUGGACUGAUGGAGGUGAAUAUAAACUUGAAAUCAUUGGUUCAGAUGGAUUGGUAUCAGAGCAGCGGACUCUACAGUUGACCAUUCAAGGUAAAUCACUCUUUUGCGAAUUUAGUGGUAUAAAUAGACACACAUGUCAUAUUCUAUUGUUGAACUACAUAUAUAUUUCAUAUUCUACAUAUAUCUCUGUAUGUAUGUCUGGCCUGUUCUGUAUUAGAAACUGUAUAAAAUGACCAAGAUUCUGUUAAUAUGAAAAGUCAUCUGAGUGUGUUUCCUUCAGCUCCUGUGUCCUCUGUCCUGCUGGUCUCUGAGUGUCUGUCCCAGGGAGAGAUGAGGGUGUCCUGCUCCUCUAAGGGAGGGGACAGUCCUCAGUACAGCUGGACUCUGGAUGGACGCACACUGACAGACGCUGAGCUCCUCUCUGGAAAUACUGAGACUGACAGCAUCACUCUGAAACAAAACGUCUCAGGACGACUGGUCUGCUCAGUAAGGAAUAAAGUCAGUAAUGUCUCAGAAGAAAAGACAUUAUCUACAUGUGGCUUCAAAUUCAUUAACUGCACCUUAACAGACGGGACGAACAUAUCACAGUGGGUGUUUCCAGCCAAUAAUACCCUGUGUGAUUCGCCAACAACUACUCCUACCACGAGUACAUACACCACUGUGGGUAAGACGACUGGCAUCACAGUGUCAAUUAACCCCUGCACUAAUAACACAUCCUCCAAUCAAAAUGUGAC
rnacentral:lncRNA from 1 species